rnacentral:rRNA from 1 species
AGAGCGAACGCUGGCGGCAGGCCUAACACAUGCAAGUCGAGCGCCCGUAGCAAUACGGGAGCGGCAGACGGGAUAGUAACACGUGGGAACGCGCCCUUCGGUUCGGAAUAACUCAGGGAAACUUGAGCUAAUACCGGAUACGCCCUUACGGGGAAAGAUUUAUUGCCGAAGGAACGGCCCGCGUCCGAUUAGCUAGUUGGUGAGGUAAUGGCUCACCAAGGCGACGAUCGGUAGCUGGUCUGAGAGGAUGACCAGCAUCACUGGGACUGAGACACGGCCCAGACUCCUACGGGAGGCAGCAGUGGGGAAUAUUGGACAAUGGGCGCAAGCCUGAUCCAGCCAUGCCGCGUGGAUGAUGAAGGCCUUAGGGUUGUAAAGUCCGUUUUAACGGGGAGAUAAUGACGGUACCCGUAGAAUAAGCCCCGGCUAACUUCGUGCCAGCAGCCGC